rnacentral:lncRNA from 1 species
AACAGGGUGUCACACCCCGGUCUACAUCUUGGCAGAGACACAUAUACGUAUGUUGUAUACCUGGUUCCUAUUUUGAACAUCUACGUGUACUUUUUGUCUUUUUGACAUCCAUCAGCUAACUUCGUUGAUUUAAGGUAGACCAGAAAAGCCACAUCCCUGAUUGGCAGAUGAGCGGCAACCCUGAUUACAAGCACCUGCUGCUCAUCGGUUCUUUACAAAAUGCUGUUUUGAAUUAGAAUAAAGUUGUACCUAAACACCGAAGAAGGCUGUAAAGAAAGUCAGACCAACAAGAUCAACAAGAGAAUGGGUGGAGAUAAAUCAAAAAACCGAGUGGAUAAGGCAGAGAAAGAUCUCGAUCAAGCCAAAACGGGAAAAAAGAAAGUGAAGAAGGGAAAGACGACUGAAAACGAUUACAACCAACUCCUUGCUAAGAACGUGAGACUGGAAACAGAACAAAAGAUGGAAGAAGAACGAAGACAGGAGCUCGAGAAGGAAAGACUAAAAUUAAUAGAACACAAUAGACAGCGAGAGAAAGAUGAAAGGACCAGGAUUAAGCAGGAAAAAGAGAUUGCAAAAGGAGAUCAGAACACUGUAUAAAAAAAGGGCAUAAACUGUUUAAUUUAUCCACAAAAUGUAUUAUUGAACAAAGCACACAAUCAUUGUAAACUUUUAAUAUCUACAAUUGCACUGCCUGUUUUAUUUUCCUCAAAUGAUGUGCUUAAAGGGAUAGUUCACACAAAUUACAGUGGUUUUAUAACCCUGUUAGCAGUCUUUUGGUUUUGUUUACCUGGCUGCUGUCGCCAAAUGCUUUUCAAAACCAAUGCCUGUCAAUAUCUGAGAAUCCUCUGUAGCGUUGCAAUAAAUAGAUUCUAUUGAUGCCUUGUUGUCCGAUCUCUUCUGACACUUCACACCUGAGACAGAAAAAUCCAGACAGUUUAUUCAGGAUGUAUUUACAUUCAACUCUUAUAGGCCAGCAUUCAAUGCAAGGCAUGCUUUAUAUAAAAAGUACAUGUAUCUUGACCAGAAGCAGUAUGUUGGCCAGUAGCGUAAUUAGGCCUGGGCUUGUUGUUGUUUUUGGUCCAGCUCUGACCCUUUUGAUGGUAUUAUUAUUAUUAUUAUAAAAAAAUAUAUACAUUUCAGUCUGAGUUUUCAUAACCACACAUCAGUUGUUCUAUUGACAUUUUAAUGACUAAAAUAAACUAUCCAAUAUACUUUGCUAGGCAGUAGCAGGCACUGCAAGAAGCCCCUGGUGUGACUCAG